rnacentral:misc_RNA from 1 species
GAUGAAGAACGCAGCAAAUGCGAUAAGUAAUGUGAAUUGCAGAAUUCAGUGAAUCAUCGAAUCUUUGAACGCACAUUGCGCCCUCUGGUAUUCCGGGGGGCAUGCCUGUUCGAGCGUCAUUAUAACCACUCAAGCUCUCGCUUGGUAUUGGGGUUCGCGGUUUCGCGGCCCCUAAAAUCAGUGGCGGUGCCUGUCGGCUCUACGCGUAGUAAUACUCCUCGCGAUUGAGUCCGGUAGGUCUACUUGCCAGCAACCCCUAAUUUUUUUAAGGUUGACCUCGGAUCAGGUAGGGAUACCCGCUGAACUUAAGCAUAUCAAUAAGCGGAGGA